rnacentral:rRNA from 1 species
AGAGUUUGAUUAUGGCUCAGAACGAACGCUGGCGGCGUGGCUAAGGCAUGCAAGUCGAACGGACCUUGUGGAAGGUAACGGAAGCAAGGUUAGUGGCGAACGGGUGAGUAAUGCAUGGGUAACGUACCUUAGGUUCAGGGAUAGCGGCGCCCUUCGGGGCUUUAGCGAAAGUGCCGGUAAUACCUGAUAAUAUCCGGGAAUCUCCUGGUUUCCGGAUCAAAGAUAGGGAUCCUUCGGGACCUUUUGACCUUUGAUCGGCCCAUGUCCUAUCAGCUUGUUGGUGGGGUAAUGGCCUACCAAGGCUUUGACGGGUAGCCGGCGUGAGAGCGCGACCGGCCACAUCGGGACUGAGACACUGCCCGGACACCUACGGGUGGCUGCAGCAACGAAUAUUCCGCAAUGGGCGAAAGCCUGACGGAGCGACGCCGCGUGAAGGAUGAAGUCCUUCGGGAUGUAAACUUCAAUAAUAUGUCAGGAAGUAAAGCAGGUUAAUAUCCUGCUGCGUUGACCAACAUACGAAAGGGGUGGCUAACUCCGUGCCAGCAGCCGCGGUAAGACGGAGACCCCUAGCGUUGUUCGGAAUUACUGGGCUUAAAGAGCGUGUAGGCGGGACGGUAAGUAUCUUGUGAAAGCCCCGGGCUUAACCCGGGAACUGCUUGGUAUACUGCCGUUCUUGAGGCAGGUAGGGGUUACUGGAACCUUAGGUGGAGCGGUGAAAUGCGUAGAUAUCUAAGGGAACGCCUGUGGCGAAAGCGGGUAACUGGACCUGAUCUGACGCUGAGACGCGAAAGCGUAGGGAGCGAACGGGAUUAGAUACCCCGGUAGUCUACGCCGUAAACGAUGCGCACUAGGUUCGAGAGGCUCUGACGUCAUUCGUGCCGAA